rnacentral:rRNA from 1 species
GGCCUUCGGGUUGUAAACCUCUUUCAGCACAGACGAAGCGCGAGUGACGGUAUGUGCAGAAGAAGGACCGGCCAACUACGUGCCAGCAGCCGCGGUAAUACGUAGGGUCCGAGCGUUGUCCGGAAUUACUGGGCGUAAAGAGCUCGUAGGUGGUUUGUCGCGUUGUUCGUGAAAACUCACAGCUUAACUGUGGGCGUGCGGGCGAUACGGGCAGACUUGAGUACUGCAGGGGAGACUGGAAUUCCUGGUGUAGCGGUGGAAUGCGCAGAUAUCAGGAGGAACACCGGUGGCGAAGGCGGGUCUCUGGGCAGUAACUGACGCUGAGGAGCGAAAGCGUGGGGAGCGAACAGGAUUAGAUACCCUGGUAGUCCACGCCGUAAACGGUGGGUACUAGGUGUGGGUUUCCUUCCUUGGGAUCCGUGCCGUAGCUAACGCAUUAAGUACCCCGCCUGGGGAGUACGGCCGCAAGGCUAAAACUCAAAGAAAUUGACGGGGGCCCGCACAAGCGGCGGAGCAUGUGGAUUAAUUCGAUGCAACGCGAAGAACCUUACCUGGGUUUGACAUGCACAGGACGCCAGUAGAGAUAUUGGUUCCCUUGUGGUCUGUGUGCAGGUGGUG